rnacentral:rRNA from 1 species
ACGGGAGGCAGCAGUAGGGAAUAUUGCACAAUGGGGGAAACCCUGAUGCAGCAACGCCACGUGUGGGAAGAAGCAUUUCGGUGUGUAAACCACUGUCGUGAGGGAAUAAAGCUGGAGCUGUCCAGUUGAAUGUACCUCGAAAGGAAGCACCGGCAAACUCCGUGCCAGCAGCCGCGGUAAUACGGAGGAUCCGAGCGUUAUCCGGAUUUAUUGGGUUUAAAGGGUGCGCAGGCGGCUUUUUAAGUCAGUGGUUAAAUCGUGACGCUCAACGUCAUCACGCCAUUGAUACUGGAGAGCUUGAUUGCGGUCGAGGUUUGCGGAAUUCGUCGUGUAGCGGUGAAAUGCAUAGAUAUGACGAAGAACACCGAUUGCGUAGGCAGCAGACCAGGCCGUAAAUGACGCUCAUGCACGAAAGUGCGGGGAUCGAACAGGAUUAGAUACCCUGGUA